GAUGAAGAACGCAGCGAAAUGCGAUACGUAAUGUGAAUUGCAGAAUUCAGUGAAUCAUCGAGUCUUUGAACGCACAUUGCGCCCCCUGGUAUUCCGGGGGGCAUGCCUGUCCGAGCGUCAUUGCUGCCCUCAAGCACGGCUUGUGUGUUGGGCCUCCGUCCUCCUCCCGGGGGACGGGCCCGAAAGGCAACGGCGGCACCGCGUCCGGUCCUCGAGCGUAUGGGGCUUCGUCACCCGCUCUUGUAGGCCCGGCCGGCGCUUGCCGACACAUCAAUCUUUUUUCCAGGUUGACCUCGGAUCAGGUAGGGAUACCCGCUGAACUUAAGCAUAUCAAUAAGCGGAGGA
rnacentral:misc_RNA from 1 species